UACGGAGGGGACUAGCGUUGUUCGGAAUUACUGGGCGUAAAGCGCGCGUAGGCGGACUAUUAAGUCAGGGGUGAAAUCCCGGGGCUCAACCCCGGAACUGCCCUUGAUACUGGUCGUCUGGAGUUCUGGAGAGGUGAGUGGAAUUCCGAGUGUAGAGGUGAAAUUCGUAGAUAUUCGCAGGAACACCAGUGGCUAAGGCGGCUCACUGGCCAGAUACUGACGCUCAUGCACGAAAGCGUGGUGAGCAAACAGG
rnacentral:misc_RNA from 1 species